rfam:Solanum lycopersicum cultivar Heinz 1706 chromosome 1, whole genome shotgun sequence.
UGGUGAUGAGGAGGGAAAGUCAUCAACAUUGAUUUAAACCUGUCCUAGGCCUGGUAUAUGUUUUCACCACCUUUCUGUCUAAAGCUAAGAAUAUCACUUCUCAACUU